rfam:Asian citrus Psyllid, Diaphorina citri - Florida Strain, whole genome shotgun sequence.
GCCUAGUUAGCUUGGAGAGUAGCGCGUCUGCCUUGUAAGCACUAAAUCGCGGGUUAGAUUCCCGCCCCGGGCG